rnacentral:rRNA from 1 species
AGGGAAUAUUGCACAAUGGGCGAAAGCCUGAUGCAGCAACGCCGCGUGCGCGAUGACGGCCUUCGGGUUGUAAAGCGCUUUUCGGGGAGAUGAGGAAGGACAGUAUCCCCGGAAUAAGGCUCGGCUAACUACGUGCCAGCAGCCGCGGUAACACGUAGGAGCCAAGCGUUAUCCGAAUUCACUGGGCGUAAAGCGCGUGUAGGCGGCUUGGUAAGUUGGAUGUGAAAGCUCCUGGCUCAACUGGGAGAGGACGUUCGAUACUGCCGGGCUAGAGGGCGACAGAGGGAGGUGGAAUUCCCGGUGUAGUGGUGAAAUGCGUAGAUAUCGGGAGGAACACCAGUGGCGAAAGCGGCCUCCUGGGUCGCACCUGACGCUCAGACGCGAAAGCUAGGGGAGCGAACGG